rnacentral:lncRNA from 1 species
UCUCCUCUUUCUUCUUCUUCUUCUUCUUCCUCUUCUUCUUUUUUCUUCUCCUCCUCCUCUUCUUCUUCUUCCUUUCCUUUUUCCUCUUCUUCUUCUCCUCCUCUCCUCUUUUUCUCUUCUUCUUCUUUCCUCAAACUAAACUAAACCUAAAACUAAACCUAAAUCUGAAACUAAAACUAAAACUAAAUCUAAACUAAACAUAAACCUAAAACUAAUAAAACAGAAAAAAGGAAAAAUCUAAAUCUAAACCUAAAACUAAACUAAAACUAAACCUAAAACUAAAACUAAAACUAAAACUAAAUCUAAACUAAACAUAAACCUAAAACUAAAAAAACAGAAAAAAGGAAAAAAAG